CAAAUACACUGACUUUUUACAGUAAAUUAUUUGUUUAUGAGAAUAUACACACACACACACACACGCACACACAGAGACAAAAAGACUUUUGAAGAAAUUGAAAACAUAAUCCUCUUGAUCUGCAGCUUGUACAUGCUAUAUUAAUGGAAAAACCUAUGAAUAUGGGGCAACCAUCUACAACACCACGGAUGGCCUGGGAAACUGCAUCACAGCUAAGUGUGGGGCCAAUGGGACCGUAACCAGAAGCAUGUACGUGUGCAUUACGACCACCACAGCUGGGCCUACAACUACUCCCUUUACAUUCAGCACGGUUGAAAAGACAACAACAGUUACUACAUCACAAUCAAGCACCACAUUGGGAACCACAUCUAAACCUUUAGAAACAACCAGUUCACAAGCAACUUCUACAACGUCUAUUGUUGAAACUACAACCUCAGUGCCAGGUGUCACAACAACAAGCCCUGAAACAACAGUUGUAACAUCAACACCUUUUGUUGGUACCACAACCACUGAAGUACCGUCAGUAACGACUACGGGAACAACAACUACACCUAUAGAAACAACUACAGAAAAGCCAACUACAGAGAGUGUUGGGACAAGUACAUCACCAAAAGUCACCACUGGCCCUGUGACAACUUCUACAACAUCUAUAGUUGAAACUACAACCUCAGUGCCAGGUGUCACAACAACAAGCCCUGAAACAACAGUUGUAACAUCAACACCUUCUGUUGGUACCACAACCACUGAAGUACCGUCAGUAACGACUACGGGAACAACAACUUCACCUUCAGAAACAACUACAGAAAAGCCAACUACAGAGAGUGUUGGGACAACUACAUCACCAAAAGUCACCACUGGCCCUGUGACAACUUCUACAACAUCUAUAGUUGAAACUACAACCUCAGUGCCAGGUGUCACAACAACAAGCCCUGAAACAACAGUUGUAACAUCAACACCUUCUGUUGGUACCACAACCACUGAAGUACCGUCAGUAACGACUACGGGAACAACAACUACACAUUCAGAAACAACUACAGAAAAGCUAACUACAGAGAGUGUUCGGACAACUACAUCACCAAAAGUCACCACUGGCCCUGUGACAACUUCUACAACAUCUAUAGUUGAAACUACAACCUCAGUGCCAGGUGUCACAACAACAAGCCCUGAAACAACAGUUGUAACAUCAACACCUUCUGUUGGUACCACAACCACUGAAGUACCGUCAGUAACGACUACGGGAACAACAACUACACCUAUAGAAACAACUACAGAAAAGCCAACUACAGAGAGUGUUGGGACAACUACAUCACCAAAAGUCACCACUGGCCCUGUGACAACUUCUACAACAUCUAUAGUUGAAACUACAACCUCAGUGCCAGGUGUCACAACAACAAGCCCUGAAACAACAGUUGUAACAUCAACACCUUCUGUUGGUACCACAACCACUGAAGUACCGUCAGUAACGACUACGGGAACAACAACUACACCUUCAGAAACAACUACAGAAAAGCCAACUACAGAGAGUGUUGGGACAACUACAUCACCAAAAGUCACCACUGGCCCUGUGACAACUUCUACAACAUCUAUAGUUGAAAACUACAACCUCAGUGCCAGGUGUCACAACAACAAGCCCUGAAACAACAGUUGUAACAUCAACACCUUCUGUUGGUACCACAACCACUGAAGUACCGUCAGUAACGACUACGGGAACAACAACUUCACCUUCAGAAACAACUACAGAAAAGCCAACUACAGAGAGUGUUGGGACAACUACAUCACCAAAAGUCACCACUGGCCCUGUGACAACUUCUACAACAUCUAUAGUUGAAACUACAACCUCAGUGCCAGGUGUCACAACAACAAGCCCUGAAACAACAGUUGUAACAUCAACUCCUUCUGUUGGUACCACAACCACCG
rnacentral:lncRNA from 1 species